rnacentral:rRNA from 1 species
GACGAACGCUGGCGGCGUGCUUAACACAUGCAAGUCGAGCGGUAAGGCCCUUUCGGGGGUACACGAGCGGCGAACGGGUGAGUAACACGUGGGUGACCUGCCCUCAGCUCUGGGAUAAGCCUGGGAAACUGGGUCUAAUACUGGAUAUGACUCCACGGUGCAUGUCGUGGGGUGGAAAGCCUUGUGCGGCUGAGGAUGGGCCCGCGGCCUAUCAGCUUGUUGGUGGGGUGANGGCCUACCAAGGCGACGACGGGUAGCCGGCCUGAGAGGGCGACCGGCCACACUGGGACUGAGACACGGCCCAGACUCCUACGGGAGGCGGGCAGGUGGGGGAAUCUUGCGCAAUGGGCGAAAGCCUGACGCAGCGACGCCGCGUGAGGGAUGACGGCCU